rnacentral:rRNA from 1 species
AGGGAAUCUUCCGCAAUGGGCGAAAGCCUGACGGAGCAACGCCGCGUGAGUGAUGAAGGUCUUCGGAUCGUAAAACUCUGUUAUUAGGGAAGAACAAAUGUGUAAGUAACUAUGCACGUCUUGACGGUACCUAAUCAGAAAGCCACGGCUAACUACGUGCCAGCAGCCGCGGUAAUACGUAGGUGGCAAGCGUUAUCCGGAAUUAUUGGGCGUAAAGCGCGCGUAGGCGGUUUUUUAAGUCUGAUGUAAAAGCCCACGGCUCAACCGUGGAGGGUCAUUGGAAACUGGAAAACUUGAGUGCAGAAGAGGAAAGUGGAAUUCCAUGUGUAGCGGUGAAAUGCGCAGAGAUAUGGAGGAACACCAGUGGCGAAGGCGACUUUCUGGUCUGUAACUGACGCUGAUGUGCGAAAGCGUGGGGAUCAAACAGGAUUAGAUACCCUGGGAGUCCACGCCGUAAACGAUGAGUGCUAAGUGUUAGGGGGUUUCCGCCCCUUAGUGCUGCAGCUAACGCAUUAAGCACUCCGCCGGGGGAGUACGACCGCAAGGUUG